rnacentral:rRNA from 1 species
CCUACGGGUGGCAGCAGUGGGGAAUAUUGGACAAUGGGGGCAACCCUGAUCCAGCCAUGCCGCGUGUGUGAAGAAGGCCCUCGGGUUGUAAAGCACUUUCAGUGAGGAAGAACGCCUGGUGGUUAAUACCCAUCAGGAAAGACAUCACUCACAGAAGAAGCACCGGCUAACUCCGUGCCAGCAGCCGCGGUAAUACGGAGGGUGCGAGCGUUAAUCGGAAUUACUGGGCGUAAAGCGCGCGUAGGUGGCUUGAUAAGCCGGUUGUGAAAGCCCCGGGCUCAACCUGGGAACGGCAUCCGGAACUGUCAAGCUAGAGUGCAGGAGAGGAAGGUAGAAUUCCCGGUGUAGCGGUGAAAUGCGUAGAGAUCGGGAGGAAUACCAGUGGCGAAGGCGGCCUUCUGGACUGACACUGACACUGAGGUGCGAAAGCGAGGGUAGCAAACAGGAUUAGAUACCCUGGUAGUC